rnacentral:rRNA from 1 species
UACGUAGGGUGCAAGCGUUGUCCGGAAUUAUUGGGCGUAAAGAGCUCGUAGGCGGCUUGUCACGUCGACUGUGAAAACCCGGGGCUCAACUCCGGGCCUGCAGUCGAUACGGGCUGGCUUGAGUGCGGUAGGGGAGACUGGAAUUCCUGGUGUAGCGGUGAAAUGCGCAGAUAUCAGGAGGAACACCGGUGGCGAAGGCGGCGUCCUGGACCAACACUGACACUGAGGAGCGAAAGCCAGGGGAGCAAACGGG